GACUUGGCUGGGCGGUCCGCCGCAAGGUGUGUACUGUCUGGCUGGGCCUUUCCUCUUGGUGAGCUGGCAUGCCCUUUACUGGGUGUGUCAGGGAACCAGGUCUUUUACCUUGAGAAAAUUAGAGUGUUCAAAGCAGGCAAAGCCUGAAUACAUUAGCAUGGAAUAAUAAAAUAGGACGUGUGGUUCUAUUUUGUUGGUUUCUAGAAUCGCCGUA
rnacentral:rRNA from 1 species